ACAAGAAAUUCGUGUUGGUUCGUGAAGAAUGCUUGCUUCUUUCAUCUGUACCCCUGCUACUGUGGAGCCAUCAGCCAUAAUAUUUGUCAAGCUGAAGAUGCUAGUCCUCCUCAGUUUAAAUAUGUGUGGAGAUUGGGACUUACAGGAUCUGAAGGUCAAAAAUGUGAAGUGUUUACUGGUGAUUACUUUUUUCUCAUUGCCAAUUGCACAAAAGACACAGUCUGUGUGAACCAACCUGAAGCCCUUGGUCAUGUAUGUUGGUUCUUACAUGAAGGAAAAAGGGAGAUGUCUGUAAAUGGAUGCAGAUGUUUGACUGAAGAAAACAAUAAGAGAUACCAGUGCCUAUGUAUUCCCACAUGGCUUUGCAAAAUGUAUCUGGAAAAUACAACUGACUAU
rnacentral:lncRNA from 1 species